CCUGGCUCAGAUUGAACGCUGGCGGCAGGCCUAACACAUGCAAGUCGAACGGUAACAGGAAGAAGCUUGCUUCUUUGCUGACGAGUGGCGGACGGGUGAGUAAUGUCUGGGAAACUGCCUGAUGGAGGGGGAUAACUACUGGAAACGGUAGCUAAUACCGCAUAACGUCGCAAGACCAAAGAGGGGGACCUUCGGGCCUCUUGCCAUCGGAUGUGCCCAGAUGGGAUUAGCUAGUAGGUGGGGUAACGGCUCACCUAGGCGACGAUCCCUAGCUGGUCUGAGAGGAUGACCAGCCACACUGGAACUGAGACACGGUCCAGACUCCUACGGGAGGCAGCAGUGGGGAAUAUUGCACAAUGGGCGCAAGCCUGAUGCAGCCAUGCCGCGUGUAUGAAGAAGGCCUUCGGGUUGUAAAGUACUUUCAGCGGGGAGGAAGGGAGUAAAGUUAAUACCUUUGCUCAUUGACGUUACCCGCAGAAGAAGCACCGGCUAACUCCGUGCCAGCAGCCGCGGUAAUACGGAGGGUGCAAGCGUUAAUCGGAAUUACUGGGCGUAAAGCGCACGCAGGCGGUUUGUUAAGUCAGAUGUGAAAUCCCCGGGCUCAACCUGGGAACUGCAUCUGAUACUGGCAAGCUUGAGUCUCGUAGAGGGGGGUAGAAUUCCAGGUGUAGCGGUGAAAUGCGUAGAGAUCUGGAGGAAUACCGGUGGCGAAGGCGGCCCCCUGGACGAAGACUGAACGCUCAGGUGCGAAAGCGUGGGGAGCAAAACAGGAUUAAAUACCCUUGGUAGUCCACGCCGUAAACGAUGUCGACUUGGAGGUUGUGCCCUUGAGGCGUGGCUUCCGGAGCUAACGCGUUAAGUCGACCGCCUGGGGAGUACGGCCGCAAGGUUAAAACUCAAAUGAAUUGACGGGGGCCCGCACAAGCGGUGGAGCAUGUGGUUUAAUUCGAUGCAACGCGAAGAACCUUACCUGGUCUUGACAUCCACGGAAGUUUUCAGAGAUGAGAAUGUGCCUUCGGGAACCGUGAGACAGGUGCUGCAUGGCUGUCGUCAGCUCGUGUUGUGAAAUGUUGGGUUAAGUCCCGCAACGAGCGCAACCCUUAUCCUUUGUUGCCAGCGGUCCGGCCGGGAACUCAAAGGAGACUGCCAGUGAUAAACUGGAGGAAGGUGGGGAUGACAUCAAGUCAUCAUGGCCCUUACGACCAGGGCUACACACGUGCUACAAUGGCGCAUACAAAGAGAAGCGACCUCGCGAGAGCAAGCGGACCUCAUAAAGUGCGUCGUAGUCCGGAUUGGAGUCUGCAACUCGACUCCAUGAAGUCGGAAUCGCUAGUAAUCGUGGAUCAGAAUGCCACGGUGAAUACGUUCCCGGGCCUUGUACACACCGCCCGUCACACCAUGGGAGUGGGUUGCAAAAGAAGUAGGUAGCUUAA
rnacentral:rRNA from 1 species